rnacentral:rRNA from 1 species
AGAGUUUGAUCCUGGCUCAGGAUGAACGCUAGCUACAGGCUUAACACAUGCAAGUCGAGGGGAAACGACAUCGAAAGCUUGCUUUUGAUGGGCGUCGACCGGCGCACGGGUGAGUAACGCGUAUCCAACCUGCCCACCACUUGGGGAUAACCUUGCGAAAGUAAGACUAAUACCCAAUGAUAUCUCUAGAAGACAUCUGAAAGAGAUUAAAGAUUUAUCGGUGAUGGAUGGGGAUGCGUCUGAUUAGCUUGUUGGCGGGGUAACGGCCCACCAAGGCUACGAUCAGUAGGGGUUCUGAGAGGAAGGUCCCCCACAUUGGAACUGAGACACGGUCCAAACUCCUACGGGAGGCAGCAGUGAGGAAUAUUGGUCAAUGGACGAGAGUCUGAACCAGCCAAGUAGCGUGCAGGAUGACGGCCCUAUGGGUUGUAAACUGCUUUUAUAAGGGAAUAAAGUGAGAGUCGUGACUCUUUUUGCAUGUACCUUAUGAAUAAGGACCGGCUAAUUCCGUGCCAGCAGCCGCGGUAAU